GCCUCUGAUUGGCUCGAGCUUUUUGGUAUCUGAAGACUGCAGCUAACAGUGGAAAAGGCUGAAUAAGAGACCGACCAGAGACGUUAACUGAAGCACAAGAGACAUAAACAUUUGUGACACAAGAUGACCUUCUGGGGGAGAAAAGAAAUCGGUGAGGAUGCCAGGAUUCUUCAUGAUCAUCAGGAGAGCUCAGAACCUGAUGAUACCCAGGUCUGGUCUUCUAUUCAUGGACCUCAGGAUGAUGAUAAAGUGAAUUUUUUUAAUGAUGGG